ensembl:lncRNA
CAUGUAGAUGCUCCACAUCAGGUGUGGUAUGUGAGCUGGAGGUGGUGGAGCUGAGAUAAAGCUGCUCAGCUCUGCCAGAUGAAGUGCCGCCACUUCUGACCUGCUGCAGUCCAGACACUCUGAGAGUGCUCAACCAGUUGGUGGAUGGUCUGAAGGACGGUCGGGCCACACUGCCAGAGUCCCUGCCCGUCCCCCUGCAGGAGGGAGGGGAGCUCCGCUGGGCGGCCGAGUUCAUCUGUUUGAACGAUCAGAAGCUGAAAGAGUUGAGUGACGGCUGGGACCGGCCCGAGCUGCCCCCAGAGGUUCUGCUGGAGGUUCUGUGCCUCGCUGUGCAGGGACUCAGCCUCCUGAUGCAGCCCACAACAAACCCUUAAUGUCAGCUGCUGUGAUCUUUGUUAACCUGUUUUCACAGCAGCGUUCUGCAUCUUUGAACGUUUCUGCCAUUGUUUCCUGAACUUUCAUCUGUCAAAGAUCAAAAACAAAAAGAAUAAUCUAAUAAAAUAUAUAUAUAUUUUUAAAUAAAUAAAACUUCAUACUUUUAUGUUCGGCUCAUGGUUUUAAUAUUUUAUUAGUUUUUGCUGCACUCCUUUAUGUUCUGUCCUGUUCCCUCCUCUGUGCCCCUGACCCUGUUUCCAUGCUUGUUUACUGUUAGUUAUUUUUACAAUAUUGAUAUAGAACUAAUCUCUUGAAAUAUCAUAUAUCAGAUUUGGUACUUGAGAGACAAGAAAAAGAAGUGACAGCAUGCAGAGAAGGAGGCUAAACAUUGUGCCCUCUGCUCCAGAGACAGUCCUCACAAACAGGCGAUAGAAACUGUAGGGUCAGAGUCUGGACUGAACCUGUCAAGAGUAUUUUUGUUUUUAAAGGUUUUAUUAUUCAUAUAAUAAUCAGCUAAGAGUGUUUAUAUUUCUGUCUUGUACUCAACCAGCUGCAUAUUUUAAUUGCUGGCUCUCUACUCUGUAACGGAAACUGUUUGCCUUCACAUUAAUUGUCAGCAGCAGGAAACCGCCACCCAAGAGCAAGAAACAACCUUGUAGAGAAUACAAAGUUCUUGAGAAAUCCCACCUGCUUGCUUGACAAGAUAAGCAUGAUAUUUCCUUUUUUGUAUGCUUCCUGUUGUGUAUAAAUAAAGGCAGCGAGCUGCUCCACGGUGUGUGAGUCUCCCCCUGAGUCUCUCACCCGUGCACGUUAAACUGC